UACGGAGGGUGCAAGCGUUGCUCGGAAUUAUUGGGCGUAAAGGGCAGGUAGGUGGUCUCGUUUGUCUGGGGUGAAAGCCUUGAGCUUAACUCAAGAAGUGCCCCAGAAACGGCGAGACUAGAGUUCUGGAGAGGGUCGUGGAAUUCCCGGUGUAGCGGUGAAAUGCGUAGAGAUCGGGAGGAACACCAGAGGCGAAGGCGGCGUCCUGGGAAGUGACUGACGCUCAUGUGCGAAAGCUAGGGGAGCGAACGGG
rnacentral:rRNA from 1 species